rnacentral:misc_RNA from 1 species
AUUACUAGUACAUUAACAUUAAUCUCCUAUUUCUCCCUCAGAAUUUUAUCUCUCAUAACAUCCUUCUUUUUGGCAGAGAAAUUUAUUGUUACCAAAUGGCAGGGCAGUCAAGAAAAUGGAUGAUACUAGUGGCUACAACAUGGAUACAGGCAUUUACAGGGACAAACUUUGAUUUCUCAUCCUACUCUUCCAAUUUAAAAUCUGUUCUUGGGAUAUCACAGGUCCAGCUAAACUACUUGGCUGUGGCAUCUGAUAUGGGAAAGGCUUUUGGGUGGUGUUCUGGGUGGUCUCUUUUGCAUUUUCCUCUGUGGGUUGUCUUGUUCAUGGCUGCCUUCUUGGGGCUCUUUGGCUAUGGUGUUCAAUGGCUUGUCAUUUCCAAGAUCAUCACUUUGCCUUAUGUUCUGGUUAGUCCUCCAUUUUUCUCAAUCUAAUCUCUUUCUUGUUUUUUCUUUUUUUGAAGUUUCUGCUCUAGUUAUACAUUCAUGCGUGCUUAAAAUUCUCGCUUUUUAUGUUUUUCUUUUUUGGGGGCAUUUUCUAUUUGUUCCCUCCCUUCUUUUUGUGUUUCUUUUUUCCCAACUUUCUAGGAAAACCAGUGAAUUUUCUUGGUAAAUUUGUAAAACUGUCUUCUACAACACCACAACAACAUAUCCAUAGAAAUGUAAGUUCAUUUGGCUAAGCAAAUGGUUGGUGACUGGUAGGUAAUUGCACAAGAAAGAAAAGAUGUUUAUAUUUUAUGUUCUGGAGACAAAUUUUUUGACUAAGAAUUUGAAGGGGAGGGUUUUGCUGCUACCCAACCAGAGAUAGAACACAUCAAAAUCAAGCAUUUAAGCGUAUGUGGUGGCCACUUGAAAAUAAAAGGUUCACAGUUACUAAGGUCUUUAACUAUUCUAUAAAGCUAACUUGUAACUACCAUUCUCAUCUACCAGCCAUCUUCCAUUUAUUUUAAAUAUUUUUUUUUUCCUGGUUUGCUGGGCUUCCAAGGAAUAAAUGCAUUGCUUCAGUGAUCAAACUUUUUUAGAAUAAAAAAAAAUUAACUUGUUUAUGAAGAAAAUAAAUACCCAAUGGCCUUCUCGGUUAUAUUCACUUGCAUACUGCAACUGAAAACCUCACUGCACAUGACUAAAAUAUAAUAUAGAAACCUUCAAUGGAUCAGAAAGAGAUGGAAAUAGAGUGAGAUUUUGAGAUUUUUUUUUGGUCUUGUGGUGAGAAAAAAUAUAUCUAUUACCAUGUCAUGCAUCUACAUCACCUUACACAUCGGUAUAUUGUUUUCCCCUUUGAGUAGUUAAAUGUCAAUGGGUCUAGCUACAACCAAUCAAACAUUUACUUGGUCCUUAAGGGAUAACCUUGCACCAUUUCAAUGUGAUCUGUUUCUCCUUAAGUAUAACCAAUCAAACAUUUACUUGUUUCAAUUAUAUCAUUUUCAAGUCUGAUAUCCAUCUUUAGAUGAAAAACGACUAACACUUGAAUUUUAUUAGGAAUAAAUUUUCUUUUCAAUAAACUUAUUGAAUUAAUUUGAUUAAAUUCCUUGCUUUCAAUUUCAAAUUAAUCACUCAAAUCAACUUAAGUGAUGUGGAAAUUAAUGGUAGAAAUUUUCUGUCUUUGCAUGGGGCGUUGCUGUCCUCACAGAUGCUGACUUUGUUAUUUGGCAGGUAUUUCUCCUAUGCUUGACUGCUGGAUGCAGCAUCUGCUGGUUCAACACAGUGUGCUAUGUUCUAUGCAUAAAAAACUUUUCAACAAACAGAGCAUUAGCAUUAUCCCUCACCAUCAGUUUCAAUGGAGUUAGUGCUGCCAUCUAUACCCUCAUUGCAAAUGCAAUAAACCCUCAAAAUGAUACUCUGUACCUCCUCUUAAAUGCAGCUGUCCCUCUUCUUGUGUCUGUUCUGGCACUGGUCCCUAUCCUACGCCAACCACCUUUGCAGCACCUUGCCACUGAUGCUACGAGCUGGGACUCCUCCAUUUUUCUUGUCCUCAACAUUCUAGCCAUUAUCACUGGCCUAUAUCUGCUCCUCUUGGAUUCAUUAUCCUCAGUUUCGUCAACAGCACGCUUCCUUCUCGGAGGUGCUAUUCUUCUGUUAGUCCUUCCCUUGUGCUUACCAGGUAUUGUGUGUGCAAGAAACUGGGCUAGGCAGACCAUCCAUGCAAGUUUCCAUUCUGAUGGUUCAAGAUUCAAUUUGGUUGACACUGAUGACCUCGAGCUUGUUAAAGAACUCAUCCGAAGUGAAAACGGUAGUGGCUCAAAUGGCAAUUCCUAUAGGGUGAUGGAGAAAGGGGUUUGUCUUACUUGUUUUGGAAGGGUAAUGGAGAAGGAUAGGUUGACUAUGCUUGGCGAAGAGCACUCAGCUCCAGCACUAGUGCGUAGGUGGGAUUUUUGGAUAUACUACGUUACAUAUUUCUGUGGAGGGACAAUAGGGCUGGUUUACAGUAAUAAUCUAGGACAGAUUGCUGAGUCUCUUGGAUAUUCAGAACUUAGUUACCUCGUUACCCUCUACUCAUCAUGCUCAUUCUUUGGUCGCUUGCUUUCAGCUGCCCCAGAUUUCCUGCGUGAGUAUGUAUUCACUGUGAAACUAAAUAUUUGCUAUGCACAGCACUGAUUCAUAACAGAAAAAAUUAGUGGUAAUAUAUUGCCUUAGAUAAAGAGUAAAAAAUCAUAUGCUCUAAUAGCUGAACAGAGAAGUUAAUGAUAAAAAUUUGAGAUCUUUUUCUCUUUUGGAAAAUGAGUCCCAGGUAUACUGCACACCUAGGGAAGGCACAACCAUUAAAAGUUGCUUGAACUUUUGAUGGUUUAGUCCUUACUUAAGCACAUCUCCUAGUGUAUCAUGCAGAUCCUAGUCAGUACUUGUACGUCACAGAAAUUUGAACUAACUUAUAUAGUAUUAGUCAAAUUGAAGAAAAAACUAAAGGUUUGAAAGUUCACCAAUGCAGCAAGGUGUACUUUGCAAGGACUGGGUGGUUAGCAGUUGUAAUUGUGCCAACACCAAUUGCCUUCUUCUUGCUUGUUGCAUCAGGCAGUGAGGAAGCAUUGCAAGCUUGUACAGCUCUGGUUGGACUAAGCUCUGGGUUUGUAUUUUCAGCAGCUGUGUCAAUCACAUCUGAGCUAUUUGGGCCAAAUAGUGCUGGGGUCAACCACAACAUCCUCAUCACCAACAUCCCUAUUGGAUCACUCCUCUAUGGUCUUCUUGCAGCUAUUGUGUAUGAUUCCAAUGCAGGAAGUACCAGCUUGUUGGAGACCCAGUUGGGGAAAGAAAUGGUGUGCAUGGGUAGGCAAUGCUACUUGAAGACCUUCAUAGUCUGGGGUUGCAUAUCACUGGUAGGCCUAGUUUCAAGCUUUUUGCUUUUUCUGCGAACCAGACCUGCAUAUGACCAUUUCAAAAGCAGCCGAAACAGGACACAAUCCUCUUAACUGAGAAAUUUGCCCUUUUGACAGUAGGUUCUGAAUUCUAUAUUUAGCUUUGAAAUAUCCACAGAUGGGAUGCCAAAAUGAACUAGAAAAAGAUCAUAGAAGAAAUUACAAGUAAUAAAAGAUAAUGUGGGCACAAGCCAGCUUGUAGUUAGUGAAGUCACUUGGCAUUGUGUCCAAAGAUCAAAGAUCAAAUCCCACUCACGCCUGGAAUGGGAGGGAUUAAGGUAGAGGGAGGGCUACCCCAGCUGUGUAGCUCAGUGUGUUGGCCUAAAUACUGUUCUUGGACUGAGAAAAAAGAAAAACUAAUUCUAAGAACACGCAAAUUAAAGAGGACUUAUUGACAUCAAGGGCCAAAACAGCAAACAGCCAUAGGGCAUAUCGUUUCUGCAGAAGACUGUCUUUUUACCACAAACAACCAUUAAAAAUGCCAGCAUUAGGUACGCUAUGCUGCCUCUGGGCACUCGGAGCUCCAGUAGGCCUUGCAGGACCAACGGAGCUGCAAACCCACCCAACAACCCUAGAGAGCGAGAAGAUUCAAGAAGACAAGAACCACUGCAUACAGUAAGCAAAUUGGCUAAAACAUAACUUGGUCCUGCACCCAAUUCAUAAUUCACAAAUUGGGAUAUGUCAAAGGGGUAUGCUCAUAUUACAAUGUGUAAUUGGUCCUAAUCCCGCAGCAGCUACACAUUAACAACCAAAAUUUUGGAAUCAUUUCAACAAUGAAAAGGCCAAACAUUAUAAAACUUAGUCAAGAUUGGCAAUCAAAUUUCAACUGCAAGAAGCAAUUAAAUAUGCAUAUAAUCAUUUAAAGGAGAAAUUGAGAUUCACCAAAACAAAUUUCAACUGCAAGGAGCAUUCACCAAUAAAACUCUAUGCAAAAGGUCCAUCUAAGCCACUUCAGCAAUAAAAUGUAAUGGAAAAUAAUGCUUCUCAAAUCUCAAUUGAAGCCAACAAUACCAGUGCCAAUUAUCCUCAUGCAUAUGAAGCAAUGAUCAUGAUAUUUCUAACUGUAACCAGACAAUUUCCUAAAAUUAACUUAAGAAUCUCUUUCUUAGAAAUCUGCACCAUUAGCAUGAAUCUAAUUUCCUGCGUCACCACUGGUUUGCUGUAGGAAGGCAACACACAAGUAAUUUUUGGCGUUGCUAAAAGGUAUUGCUUCACAGCAUAAGAUGGGAGAUUAGGCAACUAAAUUACUAUAGCAUUUUUGCAGACAAAGAAAUGAGGUUAAUCAUAACCCCGUCAGGCCCUUGUCAGUGCUGAUAGUAGCACUUAGUCAAAAGUCACUUGCAGCUAGGACAUGGUGCAUGGCUCUUGGGUACCCCGAACCGAAUUCUAGAAUCGAAAUGAACAGAAUUCAAAAAAGAACAAAAACUGUAGGAAUCAAACCAAAUCAAGAACUAAUCCAAAGCCAAUUUUAU